GGACUACACGGGUAUCUAAUCCUAUUUGCUCCCCACACUUUCAAGCCUAAGCGUCAGUAAUGGCCUAAGUUUUCGCCUCCGCCACUGGUGUUCCUUCAUAUAUCUACGCAUUUCACCGCUCCACAUGAAAUUCCAAAACUCCCUACCACACUCUAGAUUAAUAGUUUCCAAUGCAUACAACUGUUAAGCAGCUGCCUUUAACACCAGACUUUUCAAUCCGCCUGCGCUUGCUUUACGCCCAAUAAAUCCGGAUAACGCUUGCGACCUAUGUAUUACCGCGGCUGCUGGCACC
rnacentral:misc_RNA from 1 species